AUUGAACGCUGGCGGCAGGCCUAACCCAUGCAAGUCGAACGCAUGGCGGACGGGUGCAUAAUUUCUGGGAACCUGCCUGAUGGAGGGGGAUAACUACUAGAAACGUUAGCUAAUAGCGCCAAACAUCGGAUGUGCCCAGAGUGGAUUAGCUAGUAGGUGGGGUACAGGCUCACCUAGGCGACGAUCCCUACCUGGCCUGAGAGGCUGACCAGCCACCCUGGAACUGAGACACGGUCCAGACUCCUACGGGAGGCAGCAGUGGGGAAGAUUGCACAAUGGGCGCAAGCCUGAUGCAGCCAUGCCGCGUGUAUGAAGAAGGUCUUCGGGUUGUAAAGUACUUUCGUCGGGGAGGCGUUACCCAAAGAAGAAGCACCGGCUAACUCCGUGCCAGCAGCCGCGGUAAUAC
rnacentral:rRNA from 1 species